rnacentral:rRNA from 1 species
CGGGUGAGUAACACGUGGGUAACCUGCCCGGAAGUGGGGAAUACCUCGGGGAAACUCGAGCUAAUACCGCAUGACAUCUUCGGGACGAAAGUUCUGACGAUCAAAGCGGGGUCGCAAGAUCUCGCGCUACCGGAUGGGCCCGCGCCCGAUUAGCUAGUUGGUGGGGUAACGGCUCACCAAGGCAACGAUCGGUAACCGGCCUGAGAGGGCGAUCGGUCACACCGGAACUGAGACACGGUCCGGACUCCUACGGGAGGCAGCAGUGGGGAAUCUUGCGCAAUGGGCGAAAGCCUGACGCAGCAACGCCGCGUGGAGGAUGAAGGCCCUUGGGUUGUAAACUCCUGUCGGCUGGGACGAAAUCGCGCGGGGCGAAUACCUCCGUGCGUUGACUGUACCAGCAAAGGAAGCCCCGGCUAACUCUGUGCCAGCAGCCGCGGUAAUACAGAGGGGGCCAGCGUUAUUCGGAAUUAUUGGGCGUAAAGGGCGCGUAGGCGGCCAUGCGUGUCUUUCGUGAAAUCCCUCGGCUUAACUGAGGACGUGCGGAAGAAACUGCAAGCUUCGGAGUCCGGGAGAGGGGGGUGGAAUUCCCAGUGUAGCGGUGAAAUGCGUAGAUAUUGGGAGGAAC